AAAUUGAAGAGUUUGAUCAUGGCUCAGAUUGAACGCUGGCGGCAGGCCUAACACAUGCAAGUCGAACGGUAACAGGAAGAAGCUUGCUUCUUUGCUGACGAGUGGCGGACGGGUGAGUAAUGUCUGGGAAACUGCCUGAUGGAGGGGGAUAACUACUGGAAACGGUAGCUAAUACCGCAUAACGUCGCAAGAC
rnacentral:rRNA from 3 species